rnacentral:rRNA from 1 species
AACGAACGCUGGCGGCAGGCUUAACACAUGCAAGUCGAACGCCCCGCAAGGGGAGUGGCAGACGGGUGAGUAACGCGUGGGAACAUACCCUUUCCUGCGGAAUAGCUCCGGGAAACUGGAAUUAAUACCGCAUACGCCCUACGGGGGAAAGAUUUAUCGGGGAAGGAUUGGCCCGCGUUGGAUUAGCUAGUUGGUGGGGUAAAGGCCUACCAAGGCGACGAUCCAUAGCUGGUCUGAGAGGAGGAUCAGCCACAUUGGGACUGAGACACGGCCCAAACUCCUACGGGAGGCAGUAGUGGGGAAUAUUGGACAAUGGGCGCAAGCCUGAUCCAGCCAUGCCGCGUGAGUGAUGAAGGCGUUAGGGUUGUAAAGCUCUUUCACCGGAGAAGAUAAUGACGGUAUCCGGAGAAGAAGCCCCGGCUAACUUCGUGCCAGCCGCCGCAGUAAGAC